AAACAAAAGCCAAACGUCGUUGAAAAGACAUCUGCUCACAUUCCUUUUUUGCUUUCUCUUCUUUUUCUUUUUUCUCUUCUUCUGUUUCAGCCUUUUCACUUUUUUUCUCUUC
rnacentral:ribozyme from 12 species